rnacentral:rRNA from 1 species
UACGUAGGGCGCAAGCGUUGUCCGGAAUUAUUGGGCGUAAAGAGCUCGUAGGCGGUUUGUCACGUCGGCUGUGAAAACCCGAGGCUCAACCUCGGGCCUGCAGUCGAUACGGGCAGACUAGAGUGCUGUAGGGGAGACUGGAAUUCCUGGUGUAGCGGUGAAAUGCGCAGAUAUCAGGAGGAACACCGGUGGCGAAGGCGGGUCUCUGGGCCGUAACUGACGCUGAGGAGCGAAAGCGUGGGGAGCGAACAGG